ACUAUUUAGGCAGAGUAGUGCAAUAAAUUUAGAAUUUAUUUAUGGUUAAACCAAAUAGUA
rnacentral:tRNA from 1 species